rnacentral:rRNA from 1 species
GUCUAUGGCCAUACCACUCUGAAUGCGCCCGAUCUUGUCUGAUCUCGGAAGCUAAGCAGGGUCGGGCCUGGUUAGUACUUAGAUGGGAGAUAGAAGUCCUUUGUCUGGGGGACAGUUGGCC